rnacentral:rRNA from 1 species
UGAACGCUGGCGGCGUGCCUAAUACAUGCAAGUCGAGCGAACAGACGAGGAGCUUGCUCCUCUGACGUUAGCGGCGGACGGGUGAGUAACACGUGGAUAACCUACCUAUAAGACUGGGAUAACUUCGGGAAACCGGAGCUAAUACCGGAUAAUAUAUUGAACCGCAUGGUUCAAUAGUGAAAGACGGUUUUGCUGUCACUUAUAGAUGGAUCCGCGCCGCAUUAGCUAGUUGGUAAGGUAACGGCUUACCAAGGCGAUGAUGCGUAGCCGACCUGAGAGGGUGAUCGGCCACACUGGAACUGAGACACGGUCCAGACUCCUACGGGAGGCAGCAGUAGGGAAUCUUCCGCAAUGGGCGAAAGCCUGACGGAGCAACGCCGCGUGAGUGAUGAAGGUCUUCGGAUCGUAAAACUCUGUUAUUAGGGAAGAACAAAUGUGUAAGUAACUAUGCACGUCUUGACGGUACCUAAUCAGAAAGCCACGGCUAACUACGUG